CCUACGGGCUGCACCAGUGGGGAAUAUUGGACAAUGGGGGCAACCCUGAUCCAGCAAUGCCGCGUGUAAGAAGAAGGUCUUCGGAUUGUAAAGUACUUUCGACAGGGACGAUGAUGACGGUACCUGUAGAAGAAGCCCCGGCUAACUUCGUGCCAGCAGCCGCGGUAAUACGAAGGGGGUUAGCGUUACUCGGAAUGACUGGGCGUAAAGGGCGCGUAGGCGGCUCAUACAGUCAGGUGUGAAAUUCCUGGGCUUAACCUGGGACCUGCAUUUGUUACGUAUAGGCUAGAGUGUGAGAGAGGAUUGUGGAAUUCCAAGUGUAGAGGUGAAAUUCGUAGAUAUUUGGAGGAACACCGGUGGCGAAGGCGGCAAUCUGGCUCACAACUGACGCUGAGGCGCGAAAGCGUGGGGAGCAAACAGGAUUAGAUACCCCCGUAGUC
rnacentral:rRNA from 1 species